ACCUAGGAGAGGAGGGCACAUUGAAAGGAGGAAAAAGGGCAGAGUAUGGGAUAUGCUAGCUGUAGGAGGAGAACUUCAUGACAAAUUAAGACUUAGGAAGAAAGUUCUGGCUCAGGGAGCUUGGGGUGCAGGCACAGUGAGCAGCCCACAGACCUCAUGGACCACCAGACCUCCCAGGACAAAUUUUGCAGCAGGGAGAAGUGGAUGUGAAAACUGAGGCCUAGAGAGGUAACUCAUUCAAGGUCACAUAGCCAAGUUGAGAAGAUCUUAAGUCUAACAGUGCUCUCCAUGUAGUUACACUGCUCCUAAUAGGACAGGGAAAGAUACAUUAAAAUGUUAAUUGCUA
rnacentral:lncRNA from 1 species